rnacentral:tRNA from 1 species
UCUGUAGCUCAGUUGGAUAGAGCGACGGAUUCCUAAUCCGCAGGUCACAGGUUCAAUUCCUGUCAGGGG